rnacentral:sRNA from 1 species
AUUUUCAUCCCUGCUCAGUCUGCUCAGGGGCUUGGGAGCCGCCGGGCUCAGCAUAUUGUGCUGUGCUGCACAGUCCUGCUGCCCGCUUGGGGGUGGACCCAGAGCCCUGCACCCCCUGAGCUGCCCCCUCUGGUUGCCUUGUAGAGAUCCAGGUGAUGAUGGGCAGCCUGGUGUACCUGCGGCUGGGCUUGGAGAAGUCACCCUACUGCCACCUGCUGGACAGCAGCCACUGGGCAGAGAUCUGUGAGACCUUUACCCGGGACGCCUGUUCCCUGCUGGGGCUUUCUGUGGAGUCCCCCCUUAGCGUCAGGUACAACCCAGCCCUGUGAGGGCAGCACAGGUGGGAGGGUAGAGAGGGAAUCAUCAUUUGCCAAGGCCCUGCCAUGUGCCAGGAACAGUGCUCGGUGCUUUCAGAGACCGAAACUGGCUUUCUUAGUCAUUCUUCAGGAGAGGAAUUACCUGUUUUUACAGUUAAACUGAGACUAGGAAGAGUUAUGGCCCGAGGUCACCAUGAGGUCAGUGGCAUGGUCAAGGUUCCCAUUUUGUAAGGUCUCCUGAAUGAGGUCCCUGCCUCUCUUGCACCUCACCCUGGAUCAUUGCAAGACCUUCCCAGCUAACCCACGCCCCUCUGCAGCCCGCCUUCCUCAUGACCUAAUGUCUUAAACACCACUUGCCUUCAGGGGAGAUGUGAGUGGUUGAGUAAUAUGUAUUCAGCACUGCUGCUGACACCUCCCUCAGAGCUCCCAGCAACCCUGGGAGGGAGAGCCACUGUUAUCCUCCUUCUACAGAUGAGGAAAUGGAGGCCCAAGAUGUGCACGCACUUGCCCAAGGCCUCGCAGGGAAUAAUGGGCACUUGAACCUGACCCCAGAGCCACACGCUCCGCCACAGUGGACAGCUGUCACUGUGUAUUUAGACUGUUGAUGGCACCUCAAUAUAGUGGACGGAUUCUACGCUCAUCUAAUUUGUUACCAUGGACUCAGUUUAUAGAACGUCAUUUCCCAGCAAGAACAACAUCAGCACCUUAGGAUGAUUCUGUUGCGCAGGACUCCCCUGUGCACUGUGGGGUAUUCAGCAUCUGAGGUUCCAGCCAGUAGGCUCCCUUCCCCAUGCAACUGUCACGAGAAGGGAACCCCAACCUCCAUUUGUUAGGCGGCCUAGUUGAUAGCCACCAUUAUAAAGAUGUGUUAUGACUACACAGCAGGGUACGUCCUACAGGCAGGCUGGGGCCCUUUGGAACUGCUCACUGUUCCCUAGUCACACCAAGGACUUUUCAGUCAUUAGGAUGAGCAGAUAUCUGCCCCUAGAGCUAUAGGAAGUCUUCCCUGUAGGUUCUCAAAUUUUGGGGUGCAUUAGAAUGAGUCUCUAGAGUCAGACAUACAUAAGUACAUAUGUGGCACCUUAUGAACAAUGUGAGGGAUCUUUGAGGACCGAUUUGACUGUGCACCAUUUUAGAGCCCUGUCUCAAGGUCCAUGCUGAAGCAUGGCGCGCUGGCCCUUUUUGCCUGUCUGCUGUGAUCUGAGCCACUCUAGCCCCUGUUCCUUGUCUGCAGCUUUGCCUCUGGCUGUGUGGCGCUGCCCGUGUUGAUGAACAUCAAGGCUGUGAUUGAGCAGAGGCAGUGCACUGGGGUCUGGAAUCACAAGGACGAGUUACCGAUUGAGAUUGAACUAGGCAUGAAGUGCUGGUACCACUCCGUGUUCGCUUGCCCCAUCCUCCGCCAGCAGACGUCAGAUUCCAACCCUCCCAUCAAGCUCAUCUGCGGCCAUGUUAUCUCCCGAGAUGCACUCAAUAAGCUCAUUAAUGGAGGAAAGCUGAAGUGUCCCUACUGUCCCAUGGAGCAGAACCCGGCAGAUGGGAAACGCAUCAUAUUCUGAUUCCUACCUGGAAGGAAUUUUGUUGAAAGGGGUUUUCACCUGUGAGCCUUGGUCUGUCCCGGUAGGGUGGUCAACUUCAGUGGACUGUGGUUGGUUUCAGAGCGCCUGGCUGAGGAGUUCCACUGAGGGGAGCGCUGGAGCAGCCCUUUGGCAGAGGCUGAGGAGGGAGAUGGACCAGCCCACGCCUGGCACCUGGCUCCAUGGCAUAAGGAAAGGGAGAUGCUGGCCUCUGUGCUCCUGCUGUCUCUUCCUGUUUCUGUUUGACUUAGUAGCAACCGACAGAGUGGCAAGGGAUUUGGUCUUCAGCAGUGGACAUCCUUCCACCCCUGCCCUCAGCCAAGUCUCUUGCUGCCAUGCCAAUGCUAUGUCCACCCUUGCCCCUCGGCCCAAGGGUGUCCAGCGGUGGCCCACCUCUUCCUCCCACUACAGCCUCAACAGUAUGUACCAUCUCCCACUGUAAAUAGUCCCAGUUAGAACAGAAUGCCGUUGUUUUAUAACUUUG